rnacentral:rRNA from 1 species
UGGCGAACGGGUGAGUAACGCGUGAGGAACCUGCCUCAAAGAGGGGGACAACAGUUGGAAACGACUGCUAAUACCGCAUAAGCCCACGGGUCGGCAUCGACCUGAGGGAAAAGGAGCAAUCCGCCUUGAGAUGGCCUCGCGUCCGAUUAGCUAGUUGGUGAGGUAACGGCCCACCAAGGCGACGAUCGGUAGCCGGACUGAGAGGUUGAACGGCCACAUUGGGACUGAGACACGGCCCAG